rnacentral:lncRNA from 1 species
UGCAAUCUCAUUUUCGGAUGGAUCCAUGUCUUCUUGACAAAGCCAGAGGUAAUAGUUGUUCCUCAAGGGAUCUGGAGAAAUUCUGACCCUUUUUAGUGUCAUUUGAAAAGAUGCUUUAUUUUGGAGGGGAUGUGCCUGCUGUGCACAGCAGGAGGUGGUGCCAGGCGACAAGUCACGGGAUAGUUUCUGACAAGAUCUGUUUUUUUCCCAUGUGUUAAAACUUAAACCCUCAUUAAAGUUUGCAACUGCCGUCAUUGUUCUCAGUUUUUAAUUGUAAUUGAAUGCCAUGCUGAUGGAAUAAUUUGUUAUUAGAAUGGCUUUAUUUUUCUUUCUUUCUGACGGCCAGAUACACUUCUUUGUUGUUCCUGUUAAUGUUUGGCAACUUUUUCCAAAAUCGUUCUACAGACAAAAUCAUCGAUCUUACAAGUUGAUUGCUUCUUUGAAGAUGCUGAGUGAUCAUCUUAAAUUGCUGCUGUUUGUCCUGCACUGCUGGAGCAAUUAAACAUCUGAGCCACAAUGAGUGCAGCCACGUGUUGGACCAGUAACUUGUGAUGGCCCCUAUACUCACAGAGGAAGCAUCAUUUCUGUCUCCAUCCAACACUCUGCCUAAUGCAAAGCCAGAGCCAGAUGCAGCCUUAACACAGAGAGGGUACACAUAGAUCACAGCAGAUAAUUCUAUGUGCUUUACCUACUGUGUUGCAGCAGUUUACUUUCCCUUACCUCCCCACAUCUGCAUUUGGGAAUCAGAAGAAAGAACAUGUACUAAAACCAAACUGAGAACACCAGAAAUUAUUAGAAAGAAAAAAAGAUCUGCCUAGAUACCAACAAUUUGGUUGCAGCUAGCUUCUGUCAGAAUAACUGAUUUGGAUUAACACAGGGCAGAAGAGCUCUACAUUGCUCCCAAUUAGAUUUCUCAUGAUUGCAUAAAUGGGCACAGUAAAAUCAUGAUCACUGCAGAUUUUAAUGGUAAUAAAGUUAAUAGGUAAAAAUUGGCUAAAUGUCA